UCGGCUGUAGAGUUUUACUUGCAGAGAAGUUCCUCAAAGAACUUCUUGGUCUGAUUAAAACAGGUGUGAGGAUGGAAGAAAGAAGAGAGGAAGAGAGAGAAAGAAGAUGGACAGACCGGGGAAGCCAACAGGCUCUGGCCCCGCCCCCUGGCUCUGGCCCCGCCCCCUGGCCCCGGGCCAGCAACCCGACAGCGCGUCACCGGUCUACAGUGAUGAAAGAAUCGAUCACACACUCUAGAAGUAAGUCCUACUUUGGAAGUCAGGACCAGGAUGAGAACCAGGAUCAGAUCCAGGACUAGGAUCAGAUCCAGGACCAGGAUGAGAACCAGGACUCGGAGAUGGACGGGGAUCAGAACCAGGACUCGGAGUCCAGCAGCAGGACCAAAGCAGGAUCUUCCUCCGCUGGUCUGCAGGUGGUGACGGUGAUGACAGCAGUCCUGCUGCUGCUUCGGGAGAAGGUGGUGAUGGUGAUGACAGCAGUCCUGUUGCUGCUUCAGGAGAAUUGGCAUAAG